rnacentral:rRNA from 1 species
GACGAACGCUGGCGGCGUGCUUAACACAUGCAAGUCGAACGGAAAGGCCCUGCUUUUGUGGGGUGCUCGAGUGGCGAACGGGUGAGUAACACGUGAGUAACCUGCCCUUGACUUUGGGAUAACUUCAGGAAACUGGGGCUAAUACCGGAUAGGAGCUCCUGCUGCAUGGUGGGGGUUGGAAAGUUUCGGCGGUUGGGGAUGGACUCGCGGCUUAUCAGCUUGUUGGUGGGGUAGUGGCUUACCAAGGCUUUGACGGGUAGCCGGCCUGAGAGGGUGACCGGCCACAUUGGGACUGAGAUACGGCCCAGACUCCGACGGGAGGCAGCAGUGGGGAAUAUUGCACAAUGGGCGGAAGCCUUAUGCAGCAACGCCGCGUGCGGGAUGACGGCCUUCGGGUUGGAAACCGCUUUCGCCUGUGACGAAGCGUGAGUGACGGUAAUGGGUAAAGAAGCACCGGCUAACUACGUG